CAACCUUGUUGUGGCAGUAAUGUAAUAAGUGAUACCGGUCCUCUUCGUGCUUUUCAAGAAACAGUUAACUUAACUUUCAAAUCCAUUACUGUGAAGCCCCGAGCAGGAUAUAAACCGUCUAAGAUAUUUGAUUUGCGAAUAAUUAGAUAUGAUAUACCAUACUUUCUGGCACUGCAAUGGACAGCUCCUGGAGCGGAAGCUGAUAGAGGAAAUGCUACAAAGUACAUACUUAAGUCAUUUUAUUCACGAGAUGAUGCAAUCAAUAAAUUUGAUUCUAAAAAUUCCACACAUUUUGAGAUGGAUCUUCAACCUAAAUCCAGAGGGGAGAUCGAGAAUACAGAAAUUGAAAUUUUUGAAAAACUCAAGGAAAAUCUGACAUAUUUCAUUUCUAUGCUAUCUGUUAAUGGCAAGGAUCUAUACAGUGAGCCAUCGAAUGUUGUGGAACUAUUUAUCCGAGACUCAGCUAAAAAUGCCACUCAUCCUACUUCGCCUCCAGAAGUGAAACGCGAAGAUGUAAACAGAGUACUAAUUGCUUUCGGAAUUGUUCUUUUCGUCAUUUUUAGUCUUGCAUGUAUCUAUUUAGCAAUUCACUUCUUUCUAGUGAAACCUAAACAACAAAAAUAAUCAAAAAAAAAAAAAAAAAAAAAAAAAAAAAAAAGAAAAGAAAAGAAAAGAAAAAAAAGAAAUGUAUAUCCUCCAACCCAAGUUCUACUCAAGAUUCCAAGCCUGAAAAUUAUGUUUUAAACACUUGGAUUUUCACACUUGUUUUCACAAAAUAUCCCAAUGAAGUCUCUAUGUCAUAAAUCAGAAUAAAAGUUGCCAGAUGUUUCUUGAAAAAAACGGAGAAUAGUCCUUUCCUAAACAUGAGAGAAAUGGAAGUUGGAAAUUUAGAUUCUGUUGGAUACCAUCAAAUUUCAGAUCAGAUUUUACUGGAUAGGAAGAGGAUUUCCAGUAAAUUUUAAAGAGAUUAAAAAUAGGAUGUUUGUUAAAGACUCGUGCGGCGCACCAAAUCGAAAGAAUUUUACCAUUUAUUACACAAGAUAAUAUAGCACCUGAAAAUAACAACCUUUCAGAUUUCAAUGAAUUUGAAAAAUUUGUGUGGAACUCUUGCUGAAUGCGAAUUCAUAAAGCUACCCUUAAGUAAAAAAUGUAAUGUAUUUUAAUUUUCAUUCUAAAUAAAUAUAUUUAGAUUAAAGGUAUA